rnacentral:rRNA from 1 species
ACGAACGCUGGCGGCAUGCCUAACCCCUGCAAGUCGAACGAGACCUUCGGGUCUAGUGGCGCACGGGUGCGUAACGCGUGGGAACCUGCCCUUAGGUUCGGGAUAACUCCCCGAAAGGGGUGCUAAUACCGGAUAAUGUCUUCGGACCAAAGAUUUAUCGCCUUUGGAUGGGCCCGCGUUGGAUUAGCUAGUUGGUAGGGUAAAAGCCUACCAAGGCGACGAUCCAUAGCUGGUCUGAGAGGAUGAUCAGCCACACUGGGACUGAGACACGGCCCAGACUCCUACGGGAGGCAGCAGUGGGGAAUAUUGGACAAUGGGCGAAAGCCUGAUCCAGCAAUGCCGCGUGAGUGAUGAAGGCCUUAGGGUUGUAAAGCUCUUUUACCCGGGAUGAUAAUGACAGUACCGGGAGAAUAAGCUCCGGCUAACUCCGUG